rnacentral:rRNA from 1 species
UACGUAGGAUGCAAGCGUUAAUCGGAAUUACUGGGCGUAAAGCGUGCGCAGGCGGUUUGUUAAGUCUGCUGUGAAAUCCCCGAGCUCAACUUGGGAAUUGCAGUGGAUACUGGCAAGCUAGAGUAUGGUAGAGGAAGGUGGAAUUCCCGGUGUAGCAGUGAAAUGCGUAGAGAUCGGGAGGAACACCAGUGGCGAAGGCGGCCUUCUGGACCAAUACUGACGCUCAUGCACGAAAGCGUGGGGAGCAAACAGG